GACAGAGGGGGCAAGCGUUGCUCGGAAUUACUGGGCGUAAAGGGCGCGUAGGCGGGCUGGCAAGUCGGUCGUGAAAUCCUUCGGCUCAACCGAAGAACGUCGAUCGAUACUGCUGUUCUUGAGGGUUGCAGAGGAGACUGGAAUUCCCGGUGUAGCGGUGAAAUGUGUAGAGAUCGGGAGGAACACCGGUGGCGAAGGCGGGUCUCUGGGCAAUUCCUGACGCUGAGGCGCGAAAGCGUGGGGAGCAAACAGG
rnacentral:rRNA from 1 species